rnacentral:lncRNA from 1 species
UAUAGUACAUGAUUUUACAUUUACCAGUAAUUAUAAUUCAUGAAAUGUCGUUUUAUCUCCAAUACUGCUGCUUUCAACACAGUAGCUGCUUUUAACAGAAUAACUGCUUUCAACACAGCAGCUGCUUUUAACACAGUAGUUAGUCUCUACACAUAUGAGACUAGUCCGCAUAAGUACAUUAUGGUGCCAAUCUUAUCACAUUCACCUGUUUUUGUACGGGGUGUAUGUGAUACGGUUGGCGGAUGAUGUCAUCAGGCUUGGUACUCGUAUAUGGGCGGACCUGCCUGGAGACGGAUAGAGGAACAGUGUCUCGGUUCCCAAGAUCAUCGGAAAUAUGUGUUUUCAGAUAGUCUUAGGUGACCCCUGUGAAAGAAUCGUUUGACCCCCAAAGGGGUCGCAACCCACAGGUUGAGAACCGCUGAUCUAAUGGAUUAUAACUCAUCAAUAGUUCCAGAGUCUAGUUGAUCAAGGCUUCUACUAGAAAACUAAUUUCAGAACUAAUUUCAAACAACUAGUAUUUCACAGUUGUUAAUGAAAACCACAAACAUAUGUUAGAAUUGAAUGAC